rnacentral:rRNA from 1 species
AUACGUAGGGUGCAAGCGUUAAUCGGAAUUACUGGGCGUAAAGCGUGCGCAGGCGGUUUUGUAAGACAGUGGUGAAAUCCCCGGGCUCAACCUGGGAACUGCCUUUGUGACUGCAAGGCUAGAGUACGGCAGAGGGGGAUGGAAUUCCGCGUGUAGCAGUGAAAUGCGUAGAUAUGCGGAGGAACACCGAUGGCGAAGGCAAUCCCCUGGGCCUGUACUGACGCUCAUGCACGAAAGCGUGGGGAGCAAACAGGAUUAGAUACCCUGGUAGUCCACGCCCUAAACGAUGUCAACUGGUUGUUGGGUCUUCAUUGACUCAGUAACGAAGCUAACGCGUGAAGUUGACCGCCUGGGGAGUACGGCCGCAAGGUUGAAACUCAAAUGAAUUGACGGGG